AUGAGGUCCCGGAGGACCAUGCCGCUCUCCACCGUCAUGAGCCGCGCCGCGGCGUCGACGCGCACCGUCCGGUUCAGCCGCGCCGUGCUGAUGAUGGUGCCGUCGCGGCCGCCGGGGCACGCCAGCUUGGGGAGGCUGUGCGAGUGCCUGGUGGCCACCUUGACCUUGUGCUUGGCGGACGCGGCGGACGCCACGGCGGCGAGGAGCUCCUGCUCGGUGCGCGGGUAG
rnacentral:rRNA from 1 species